CAUGCUCCUAAAAGUGUUACCGGUAUAGCUUUUGUCACCUGCUUAUCAGGAGGCAGCAGAAAGGAGAGAGGCUAUGUCUACUCUCAGUGUUCUGACCUAUGAACAUCUGAAGUAUUAUUAACUUAACAUA